AAGCAAUUUGCCGACAUAAUUUCCGUAUGCAUAGUGACCUGAGCGUAACCCUCCUCGUAAAAAUCCGGUGAUCGCAAUACGCAUCGAUCUGUCAUUAAAAUAAACAAUUAUCUGAUUGUACAUGUUAAACACGUGCUCAAUACCCAUGCUUUUUGUUAUUUGUUUACUAUAAGGUGACAAUCGGUAAACUUCGGCUUCAAAACACGGCAUUUAAUGAGCAGCCAUAUUUGUUAAAUCAUAACAGACAGAGAGAAAAAAAAAUUGACGAUUAAACGAUAUAUUUGCGUAAUAAAUGAUAAAUUCGUGCACAGAGGACUAAGUUUAUGAUAUAUACAUGCAUUGGUUCAAGAAUUGGAUAAACAUUAUUUUCCACCAC
rnacentral:lncRNA from 1 species